UACGAAGGGGGCUAGCGUUGCUCGGAAUCACUGGGCGUAAAGCGCACGUAGGCGGGUUGUUAAGUCGGGGGUGAAAUCCUGGAGCUCAACUCCAGAACUGCCUUCGAUACUGGCGACCUUGAGUCCGGGAGAGGUGAGUGGAACUCCGAGUGUAGAGGUGAAAUUCGUAGAUAUUCGGAGGAACACCAGUGGCGAAGGCGGCUCACUGGUCCGGUACUGACGCUGAGGUGCGAAAGCGUGGGGAGCAAACAGG
rnacentral:rRNA from 1 species